CAUAGAGAGAGUGAUCGCUUGGAUUGGGGUUUCGAAUACGUACAGUUGGAUUUGAAAUCAAAACUAAAGCUCUUUCCCUCCUCGAAGACACUGCCCUAUAAAAGGACAUCCCAUCGCCCCCGUUCCCGCGAUCUCCUCUUCUCUCUGUCUCCGUCUCUCUCUCUCUCUCUGUCUCUCUCCCCUUUGAGCUCUCGCGAUGGAGCACUCGAAGGCCAUCGCCCCCAUUCCCGCGAUCUCCUCUCUCUCUCUCUCUCUCUCUCUCUCUCUCUCUUUUCCCUUUGAGCUCUCGCGAUGGAGCACUCGAAGGCGAUCCUCGUGGCUCCCGCCCCCUCUGAAACCCUAGCCGCUUCCCGAGGCGAAUCCCUCCUCUCAGCUCUCCUUUACGAGGCCGUCGAGAACCAUGCAAUCAUUCUUACAGAGGACCUUCUCCCAAGCUGGAGGGUUAGGAUCUUGUUCAAAGAUUGGGCAUUUGAUAUCUUCUGAAGUCCGCUCGGUGAAUGAUGUGUCUCAACAGGUACAAGGAGCUAUUCACAACAUGCUUAAGAUGACCAGUGAGAUCGAACAAAGCUCUUGCGAGAUAAUGGAAGAGAUCGAGAAAUGCAAGGAGUCCGUGGCUGUUAGAAACAACAUCUUAGAGGAGGAGAGAGACCGUUUCAAGAAAGCCGCAAUGGCUCUAUUGGAAAUGCUUAAUGGAAUCCUAUAUAUAAGUAUAGGAUUCGUUCAAUAAGAUAUCACUUUGAUACGUUGGUACGAUUUAAACUCGAGACUUUUGGCAGAUUCAAGAUAUAGACAUGUACCUUUUAAUGAGCUUGUAUUUCUUACUUAUUACUAUACUAUAAUUACUAUACUAAUAAUAGUAGUAGUCUUAAGACUUUUGGCUUAUGAAGAGGGUUCCGAACCACUUUCCUUUCCGGUAAUACGACCCAGGGCAGGCUCUCUCUGAUCGAAAUGAAAUGAAUUGCUGUUGAAAUAGGAGCUGAAGCAUUUUUUUUAUCGUUUUUAAGUAUUUUCUAUUUUCAAAGUUGAGAGAGUUAGGAAUGAUGUUGAACUGUAUAUCGAAUAUUAUUACUCUAUUGCCUUUAAAUUGAUUUUGCUAUUAUUUUGUUUUUAA